rnacentral:rRNA from 1 species
UCGCGGGUGCGCAGCCUCCCGGGUAACUACCACCCUUUGUUUAUUACACUUUGUUGCUUUGGCAAGCCUGCCCUCGGGCUGCUGGCUCCGGCCGGCGAGCGCUUGCCAGAGGACCUAAACUCUGUUUGUCUAUACUGUCUGAGUACUAUAUAAUAGUUAAAACUUUCAACAACGGAUCUCUUGGUUCUGGCAUCGAUGAAGAACGCAGCGAAAUGCGAUAAGUAAUGUGAAUUGCAGAAUUCAGUGAAUCAUCGAAUCUUUGAACGCACAUUGCGCCCCCUGGUAUUCCGGGGGGCAUGCCUGUCCGAGCGUCAUUACAACCCUCAAGCUCAGCUUGGUGUUGGGCCCCGUCGCCCCGGCGGGCCCUAAAGUCAGUGGCGGUGCCGUCCGGCUCCGAGCGUAGUAAUUCUUCUCGCUCUGGAGGUCCGGUCGUGUGCUCGCCAGCAAACCCCAAUUUUUUUCAGGUUGACCUCGGAUCAGUAGGGAUACCCGGUUGAACU